UACAGAGGGUGCGAGCGUUGUCCGGAAUCACUGGGCGUAAAGGGCGCGUAGGUGGCGCGACAAGUCAGUGGUGAAAGCUCGGCGCUCAACGCCGAGUCGGCCACUGAUACUGUUGGGCUUGAGCACUGUAGAGGCUAAUGGAAUUCCGGGUGUAGCGGUGGAAUGCGUAGAGAUCCGGAAGAACACCGGUGGCGAAGGCGGUUAGCUGGGCAGUUGCUGACACUGAGGCGCGACAGCGUGGGGAGCAAACAGG
rnacentral:rRNA from 1 species